UUGAACGCUGGCGGCAUGCUUUACACAUGCAAGUCGAACGGCAGCGGGGGCUUCGGCCUGCCGGCGAGUGGCGAACGGGUGAGUAAUGCAUCGGAACGUACCCAGUCGUGGGGGAUAACUACGCGAAAGCGUGGCUAAUACCGCAUACGACCUGAGGGUGAAAGCGGGGGAUCGCAAGACCUCGCGCGAUAGGAGCGGCCGAUAUCGGAUUAGCUAGUUGGUGAGGUAAAGGCUCACCAAGGCGACGAUCCGUAGCUGGUCUGAGAGGACGACCAGCCACACUGGAACUGAGACACGGUCCAGACUCCUACGGGAGGCAGCAGUGGGGAAUUUUGGACAAUGGGGGAAACCCUGAUCCAGCCAUUCCGCGUGAGUGAAGAAGGCCUUCGGGUUGUAAACUGCUUUUGUACGGAACGAAACGGUCCUUUCUAAUAAAGAGGGCUAAUGACGGUACCGUAAGAAUAAGCACCGGCUAACUACGU
rnacentral:rRNA from 1 species